GACGAACGCUGGCGGCGUGCUUAACACAUGCAAGUCGAACGGAAAGGCCCUGCUUUUGUCGGGUGCUCGAGUGGCGAACGGGUGAGUAACACGUGAGUAACCUGCCCUUGACUUUGGGAUAACUUCAGGAAACUGGGGCUAAUACCGGAUAGGAGCCCCUGCUGCAUGGUGGGGGUUGGAAAGUUUCGGCGGUUGGGGAUGGACUCGCGGCUUAUCAGCUUGUUGGUGGGGUAGUGGCUUACCAAGGCUUUGACGGGUAGCCGGCCUGAGAGGGUGACCGGCCACAUUGGGACUGAGAUACGGCCCAGACUCCUACGGGAGGCAGCAGUGGGGAAUAUUGCACAAUGGGCGGAAGCCUGAUGCAGCAACGCCGCGUGCGGGAUGACGGCCUUCGGGUUGUAAACCGCUUUCGCCUGUGACGAAGCGUGAGUGACGGUAAUGGGUAAAGAAGCACCGGCUAACUACGUG
rnacentral:rRNA from 1 species